UUUUCAUUUUUGAAUUAUUUUCGAAAUCGCGGAUCUUGAAGGUAUCGUCCUAUCUUCAAAGGCAACAAUAAAUGAAUUCAUUGUCUCCUGAAUUAAUUGACCACCAAAAUACCAUUUUAUUAUUUGAAUUAUAAUAGAACAUAAUUAAUUUUCAAACCGAUAUGAUCUAACGCAAAAUCACGUGGAUUGCGACUGAUUCCAUCGCGCACGCAGGUCGAGACCGAGACUUCAGGUUCAGACCUGACUAACAGAUCUCCCACUACGCUUGCCAGCGGCCAUUCGGGAAGACCAGAUUUUUAUUUGAUAUGGCACCGCACUCAUGUUUCGAUUCUUCCACUGUUCCAUUGGAGCCAGAGCGACUUGGAGAUUUUUACGCUAAAUCCCAUGGUUCCGAGUGAAUUUUCCAAAC